rnacentral:rRNA from 1 species
AACGAACGCUGGCGGCAUGCCUAACACAUGCAAGUCGAACGAGACCUUCGGGUCUAGUGGCGCACGGGUGCGUAACGCGUGGGAACCUGCCCUUAGGUUCGGAAUAACUCCCCGAAAGGGGUGCUAAUACCGGAUAAUGUCUUCGGACCAAAGAUUUAUCGCCUUUGGAUGGGCCCGCGUUGGAUUAGCUAGUUGGUAGGGUAAAAGCCUAACAAGGCGACGAUCCAUAGCUGGUCUGAGAGGAUGAUCAGCCACACUGGGACUGAGACACGGCCCAGACUCCUACGGGAGGCAGCAGUGGGGAAUAUUGGACAAUGGGCGAAAGCCUGAUCCAGCAAUGCCGCGUGAGUGAUGAAGGCCUUAGGGUUGUAAAGCUCUUUUACCCGGGAUGAUAAUGACAGUACCGGGAGAAUAAGCUCCGGCUAACUCCGUG